rnacentral:tRNA from 5 species
GGUCGCGUGGCCCAAUGGCAAGGCAGUUGACUACGAAUCAGAAGAUUGUGGGUUCGAUCCCCACCGUGACCU